UACGUAGGGGGCUAGCGUUGUCCGGAAUCAUUGGGCGUAAAGGGCGCGUAGGCGGCCAUGCGUGUCUUCCGUGAAAUCCCUCGGCUUAACUGAGGACGUGCGGAAGAAACUGCAAGGGCUCGAGUCCGGGAGAGGGGGGUGGAAUUCCCAGUGUAGCGGUGGAAAUGCGUAGAUAUUGGGAGGAACACCGGUGGCGAAGGCGGCCCCCUGGACCGGUACUGACGCUGAGGCGGCGAAAAGCGGUGGGUAGCAAACGGG
rnacentral:rRNA from 1 species